UGAAGCAAGCUGUAUGCAUCAAUAUGAAGUGCAUUUUAUUUCUUGCAGUGUCAUCUUUUCUUCUCGUGAUUGCUAGAAGUGCUAACCAGUGCAAAGACGCCACCAUACCAUGCCUUAACAAAGGCGUCUGCAACAUGUUGCGGGGAAAAAGUCUAGGGAGUUGUUUUCAAGGUGUCUGCUGCAAGAAAGGGGGUCACGAAUCAAAGCAAUGUAAAAUAACAGGCACAUUGUGUUUGGCGAAACGUGAUUGCAAAAAUUUGAAGGGGAAAGCGGCUGGAAAGUGUUUCAAAGGAGUUUGCUGCAAAACAGGAAGGAAACAUUUGUGCAGCGCUUUUGGAGGAGAAUGCCAACCAAAAAAUACGACCUGCAAGUCCUUGAAAAAAGCCAGCCAUACUUGCGGAAAAAGCAAGAAAUGCUGUGUUUGGUUAAAUUAGUCAGUCACGCAAAACUUUCUCACA